CUCGGAGUUUGAUCCUGGCUCAGAUUGAACGCUGGCGGAAUGCUUUACACAUGCAAGUCGAACGGUAGAGGGGGCAACCCCUUGAGAGUGGCGAACGGGUGAGUAAUAUAUCGGAACGUGCCCAGUCGUGGGGGAUAACAUAGCGAAAGUUACGCUAAUACCGCAUACGAUCUACGGAUGAAAGCGGGGUACUCGCAAGAGCCUCGCGCGAUUGGAGCGGCCGAUAUCAGAUUAGGUAGUUGGUGGGGUAAAGGCUCACCGAAGCCGAACGAUCUGUAGCUGGUCUGAGACGGUACGACCAGCC
rnacentral:rRNA from 1 species